rnacentral:rRNA from 1 species
UACGUAGGGUGCGAGCGUUAAGCGGAAUUACUGGGCGUAAAGCGUGCGCAGGCGGCUUUGCAAGACAGAUGUGAAAUCCCCGGGCUCAACCUGGGAACUGCAUUUGUGACUGCAAGGCUAGAGUACGGCAGAGGGGGAUGGAAUUCCGCGUGUAGCAGUGAAAUGCGUAGAUAUGCGGAGGAACACCAAUGGCGAAGGCAAUCCCCUGGGCCUGUACUGACGCUCAUGCACGAAAGCGUGGGGAGCAAACAGG